UCUUGCUUCGGCACAUACUGACUAAAAUUGGAACUAUAUAGAGAAGAUUAGCAUGGCCCCUGGGCAAGGAUGACACGCAAAAUUAUUGAACAAAACAAGAUACGU